AUUCCCCCAGUAGCGGCGAGCGAACGGGGAGCAGCCCAGAGCCUGAAUCAGUGUGUGUGUUAGUGGAAGCGUCUGGAAAGGCGCGCGAUACAGGGUGACAGCCCCGUACACAAAAAUGCACAUACUGUGAGCUCGAUGAGUAGGGCGGGACACGUGGUAUCCUGUCUGAAUAUGGGGGGACCAUCCUCCAAGGCUAAAUACUCCUGACUGACCGAUAGUGAACCAGUACCGUGAGGGAAAGGCGAAAAGAACCCCGGCGAGGGGAGUGAAAAAGAACCUGAAACCGUGUACGUACAAGCAGUGGGAGCCUCUUUAUGGGGUGACUGCGUACCUUUUGUAUAAUGGGUCAGCGACUUAUAUUCUGUAGCAAGGUUAACCGAAUAGGGGAGCCGAAGGGAAACCGAGUCUUAACUGGGCGUUAAGUUGCAGGGUAUAGACCCGAAACCCGGUGAUCUAGCCAUGGGCAGGUUGAAGGUUGGGUAACACUAACUGGAGGACCGAACCGACUAAUGUUGAAAAAUUAGCGGAUGACUUGUGGCUGGGGGUGAAAGGCCAAUCAAACCGGGAGAUAGCUGGUUCUCCCCGAAAGCUAUUUAGGUAGCGCCUCGUGAAUUCAUCUCCGGGGGUAGAGCACUGUUUCGGCAAGGGGGUCAUCCCGACUUACCAACCCGAUGCAAACUGCGAAUACCGGAGAAUGUUAUCACGGGAGACACACGGCGGGUGCUAACGUCCGUCGUGAAGAGGGAAACAACCCAGACCGCCAGCUAAGGUCCCAAAGUCAUGGUUAAGUGGGAAACGAUGUGGGAAGGCCCAGACAGCCAGGAUGUUGGCUUAGAAGCAGCCAUCAUUUAAAGAAAGCGUAAUAGCUCACUGGUCGAGUCGGCCUGCGCGGAAGAUGUAACGGGGCUAAACCAUG
rnacentral:rRNA from 1 species